GACGAACGCUGGCGGCGUGCUUAACACAUGCAAGUCGAACGGAAAGGCCCUGCUUUUGUGGGGUGCUCGAGUGGCGAACGGGUGAGUAACACGUGAGUAACCUGCCCUUGACUUUGGGAUAACUUCAGGAAACUGGGGCUAAUACCGGAUAGGAGCUCCUGCUGCAUGGUGGGGGUUGGAAAGUUUCGGCGGUUGGGGAUGGACUCGCGGCUUAUCAGCUUGUUGGUGGGGUAGUGGCUUACCAAGGCUUUGACGGGUAGCCGGCCUGAGAGGGUGACCGGCCACAUUGGGACUGAGAUACGGCCCAGACUCCUACGGGGGACAGCAGUGGGGAAUAUUGCAGAAUGGGCGGAAGCCUGAUGCAGCAACGCCGCGUGCGGGAUGACGGCCUUCGGGUUGUAAACCGCUUUCGCCUGUGACGAAGCGUGAGUGACGGUAAUGGGUAAAGAAGCACCGGCUAACUACGUG
rnacentral:rRNA from 1 species